rfam:Fukomys damarensis contig86163, whole genome shotgun sequence.
UUGGUGCACAUUUUGGCAAAAUGUAAUAAAAUUGGAAAGGUAUAGAGAAAACUAGCAAUGGCCUCUGCACAAGGAUAACACAUGCACAAAAUGUUCCAGCUUUAG